rnacentral:rRNA from 1 species
UCGGGAAUUUUGGGCAAUGGGGGAAACCCUGACCCAGCAACGCCGCGUGAAGGAUGAAGUAUUUCGGUAUGUAAACUUCGAAAGAAUAGGAAGAAUAAAUGACGGUACUAUUUAUAAGGUCCGGCUAACUACGUGCCAGCAGCCGCGGUAAUACGUAGGGACCAAGCGUUGUUCGGAUUUAUUGGGCGUAAAGGGUGCGUAGGUGGUUUGUUAAGUUGGAUGUGAAAUCCCCGGGCUCAACCUGGGAACUGCAUUCAAAACUGACAAGCUAGAGUAUGGUAGAGGGUGGUGGAAUUUCCUGUGUAGCGGUGAAAUGCGUAGAUAUAGGAAGGAACACCAGUGGCGAAGGCGACCACCUGGACUGAUACUGACACUGAGGUGCGAAAGCGUGGGGAGCAAACAGGAUUAGAUACCCCCGUAGUCCCUGAGCGGGCUGGCAAGGCGCAU